AUGAGGUUCCCUGCUCAGCUCCUGGGGCUGCUGAUGCUCUGGAUCACUGGAACCAGUGGGGAUGUUGUGGUGACCCAGACUCCCCUCUCCCUCCCCGUCACCCCUGGAGAGCUGGUCUCCAUCUCCUGCAGGGCUAGUCUAAGCCUCCUACAUAGUAAAGGAAACACCUAUUUCAAAUUGUUCCUGCAGAACCCAGGCCAGGCUCCACAGCUCCUGAUCUAUUUGGUUUCCAACUGGGCCUCUGGAGUCCCAGACAGGUUCAGUGGCAGUGGGCCAGGGACAGAUUUCACACUGAAGAUCAGCAGGGUGGAGGCUGCGGAUGUUGGAGUGUAUCACUGCCUGCAACAUACACAUGCUCUGUCCACAGUGAUAUAA